AUUUUGAUAUUUUUCAUGAUUUAAUUGUUUUUGUGCAUAUUUUUAAUUGUUUAAAAAUACUUCUGACUUUUCAAAAAUUAUGAAAUUUUUUGUCUAAGGUCCUUUGACCUUGUUUGACCUAGGAUAAAUCUCUUGGCCAUUUAUUUGAUUUUUGUGCAUAUUUUUAAUUGUUUAAAAAUACUUCUGACUUUUCAAAAAUUAUGAAAUUUUUUGUCUAAGGUCCUUUGACCUUGUUUGACCUAGGAUAAAUCUCUUGGCCAUUUAUUUGGUGUUUUAUAGAGGUUUUAGGUUUUGACCAAACUAAAUUUAAUUUAAAUGCAUUUUUUAUUUGAUUU
rnacentral:lncRNA from 1 species